rnacentral:rRNA from 1 species
UACGGAGGGUGCGAGCGUUGUCCGGAAUCAUUGGGCGUAAAGGGCGCGUAGGCGGGCUAGCAAGUCAGGGGUGAAAAGCCCCACGGCUCAACCGUGGAAGUGCCUUUGAUACUGCUAGUCUGGAGGGAGGUAGGGGCGUGCGGAACUUCCGGUGGAGCGGUGAAAUGCGUAGAUAUCGGAAGAACACCAGUGGCGAAGGCGGCCUCACUGGACCGGCAUUGACGCUGAGGUGCGAAAGCGGUGGG